GCUUAGAGAGGGGUCAAUGCCCUAUCAGCUAGUUGGCAGGGUAAUGGCCUACCAAGGCUAAGACGGGUAGCCGGCCUGAGAGGGUGGUCGGCCACACUGGGACUGAGACACUGCCCAGACUCCUACGGGAGGCUGCAGUCGAGAAUCUUUCGCAAUGCCCGAAAGGGUGACGAAGCGACGCCGCGUGUGGGAAGAAGGCCUUCGGGUUGUAAACCACUGUCGGGAGUUAAGAAAUGUAAGGGUGUUAAUAGCAUCCUUGCUUGACUAAGGCUCCGGAGGGAGCCACGGCUAACUCUGUGCCAGCAGCCGCGGUAAUACAGAGGCGGCAAGCGUUGUUCGGAAUUAUUGGGCGUAAAGAGCACGUAGGCGGCUUUGUAAGUCAGUUGUGAAAGCCUUCUGCUUAACGGAAGAACAGCAUCUGAUACUGCAAGGCUAGAGUACGGAAGGG
rnacentral:rRNA from 1 species